UAGAAUUGGAAUAAUACCCGU
rnacentral:piRNA from 1 species